ACUGUGAGUGUGCCUUCCCUCUUGCCCUUGGCUUUGCAUCACUUACAGCCUGUCUUCCAGCUUCAACACUGCUGUUUUGCAUCUGUUUUGCUUGUUUCCUUUCUGUUUUGCUUCAGUGCUUAUGCUUCGGUUCUAAUGCUUGUUUUUUGCUGAUGCUUUGGCUUUAUUUACCCCUCUUUUAAGUGUUUUGUCACUCUGUUAGCUACUGUUUUAAUUUCAUCCUUGCGCCUAGCCUACCUCUCUAUUGGUAACCAAUCCCAGGUGGCAUGGUCGGUAUUUGCUAUAAUGGCAUAAAAUCUCUAAGGUUUAUUAGUGGAAAUGUUUGGUAUAUCUCUCUCUCUCCCAAAUCACCACACCACCACAAAAUGAACUUAUCACCUCCAUUUAUGAUUAAACAUUUAUACACACAUACCUCAUAUAUUAUCUUUAUACUGUAACCUUAAUUGACAAUAAAUGUACCUAAUGCAGAACUAAAUAAUACAAACCUGAAAUGUCUUUUGACUAUUUUAUUUUAUAAUUAUUUUUAAUAAGCUACUAGUUAGAUUUUUUAUUAUUAACUCUGAGAGUGCAAAGAAGUGCAAAGAAAGAAAGAGGCUACUCUACUAUAAGCCAUAUUACCAAAAUAUUUUACUGUUAGGAUAAAAACUGUAAGGGUAUAAUACAAAUGAUCACAGACAUAAAAACACUUACACAUUUUCACUUGUAAUGUUUACCUUAUUUUCUUUUUGCAGGAAUUUCAGAAGCAGCUUUCCAUAGCUAAGCACAUGCUAGUCAUUGGGAAUGGAGGAAUUGCAUUGGAAUUUGUCUAUGAAGUGGAGGGCUGUGAGGUGAUCUGGGCCAUAAAGGACAAGGCCAUAGGGAAUACGUUCUUUGAUGCUGGAGCUGCUCAAUUCCUCAUCCCCUCACUGGAGGUGGAGAAGCCUGAGAAAACACUGCCCUGCAAGAGAGCACUGUCAUACGACAAACUUGGAAACAUGGCAAAACAACAAACAAAACAAAGACGGGCACACAAGGGCUCGUAUAUACAGCCAAACCUCACUUGGCGAGCACCUCCCAUAAUGAUUGAUUCGCAUAACGAGCUAAACAAAUUGUAAAAUGACUCGCUUAACGAGCGACGUUUCACAUAACGAGUGACGACGAGACAACGUGAGGCGGCUUCUCGGCGAUCCGUCUGUGUUUAGCGCUCGUUCUGCCAGCAUCUUAAUGUCACUUGUGAUCGUACAUUUUUCCAAACUUGUGUUUUGCUCGUUUUGCUUAACGAGUGUUUCGCAUUACGAGUAAGAUUCGGGAAUGAAUUAUGCUCAUUAAGCGAGGUUCCACUGUAUAGGGCAAAACAUCAAGGUAAAUGGGGAAUUGGUGACAAGGCAGGAAGGCAGAACAAUAAGGAGGGCGUGUCACAAAGUACAAGGGAAAACAACAAACUCUGCCAAUUCACCUGCCAGCACCCCCUCCAGUGGUCUGGCAGGGGACUGUCCCAGUGAUUCCUGACACUGUGGCCGUUGUUGCACAUAUUUAAAACAUUUAGGAUAAUGUACUAUACUAAUGUUGUUAGUGUGUUGUUUCACACCAGGUGCAGCAGGGCUUGGUAGUGCCCUAGGUCCAGACUGGCACCAAGACAUAUCAGACUAAGGGGAGAAGAGGAGGUGGUGCUGCUGGGAAAGUUUAAUGCUCAGGGCCUGGGUGAGGAUCAUGAACUGCUGGUGCGCUGCACCAAAACUAAAGGCAUGGAGUAUGUGAAGGUGGUGUUGAGUCGAGGCCGUAUUAUGGGGGCUGUCCUUAUCG